GGUGGACACUACCAUUAGGAUAGGUUAUCCUCAUAAUUUUGAUCAAAGCCAAUUUGAAUGCACAUCGACAUCCUUUGAGGAGUUAGCUAGCACUACAUUUGGUGUUGAUACUGCACAAGAUACUGCUAGAGGAGAUACUGCUAGAGGAUCUGAUGAGCAUAUGGUGGAUCUGGACCACGUCCCGGGGACAAGAGAGAUACUGCUAGAGGAUCUGAUGAGCAUAUG